rnacentral:rRNA from 1 species
AGGGAAUUUUCCGCAAUGGGCGAAAGCCUGACGGAGCAACGCCGCGUGAGGGAAGAAGGUCUUCGGAUCGUAAACCUCUGUCUAGAGGGACGAUAAUGACGGUACCUCUGGAGGAAGCCACGGCUAACUACGUGCCAGCAGCCGCGGUAAUACGUAGGUGGCGAGCGUUGUCCGGAAUUACUGGGCGUAAAGGGCGUGUAGGCGGUUAUUUAAGUCAGACGUGAAAGCUCCAGGCUUAACCUGGGAACUGCGUUUGAAACUGGAUGACUUGAGGACCGGAGAGGGUAGUGGAAUUCCCAGUGUAGCGGUGAAAUGCGUAGAUAUUGGGAGGAACACCAGUGGCGAAGGCGACUACCUGGACGGCACCUGACGCUGAGGCGCGAAAGCUAGGGGAGCAAAC